CAGUCGCCACGGUAAUACGGAGGGAGCUAGCGUUGUUCGGAAUUACUGGGCGUAAAGCGCGCGUAGGCGGUUACUCAAGUCAGAGGUGAAAGCCCGGGGCUCAACCCCGGAACUGCCUUUGAAACUAGGUGACUAGAAUCUUGGAGAGGUCAGUGGAAUUCCGAGUGUAGAGGUGAAAUUCGUAGAUAUUCGGAAGAACACCAGUGGCGAAGGCGACUGACUGGACAAGUAUUGACGCUGAGGUGCGAAAGCGUGGGGAGCAAACAGGAUUAGAUACCCGUGUAGUCCCUGUCUCUUAUAA
rnacentral:rRNA from 1 species